UCAUUUUUGGAAGGGUGGUAUAGAAAUUGAAUUAAUAAUGAUAAUUAUUUCUUGUUUACACAGUCAGGCAGGUGUUAUUGACUGGUUUGUUUUAUCCAGACAUCAAGUCCUUUCCAAGGACCUGGGAUGGCUGAAUUUUGUUAUCAAUAUUGUUCUUGUUGUUAUAGAUAUCGUCGCAGAAUAUAAGCCGUUCCCAGUAAUGUUGCUUUUUGUAAUUGAUGGUGAUUUCUGUGGUCCCUAUUUUGUUGAGGUAUUCGAUUUCUAUACCACCCUUCCAAAAAUGACUCGGGGUGGUUUAUACAGAGAAAUAAUAAAUAAGAUGGCUCCCUGUCCCCAAAGGGCUCACAGUCUAAAAAGAAAAAUAAGAUAGACACCAGCAACAGUAACUGGAGGUACUGUGCUGGGGGUGGAUAGGGCCACUUACUCUCCCCCUGCUAAAUAAAGAGAAUCACCACAUUAAAUGGUGCCUCUUUGCCACAUUAGCAGAUGUUGCUAAUUCUACUACCUUAUUGAUAAUUUAUUUGUCAUUUUUCAUUGUUCUUUGUUGUAUAAUACAGUCCUUAUUGCUUGUUGAUGUUUGAUUCAGCUGAAGGUCAGGAGGAUAUGUGGUCUAUGGGUAGACUUCAUGAUGAAAGGGCUAACAGAUAUGGCAAAUCUAAAAUUGAAUGUCCAGAAUUUCUUGGCUACUGAUUUUUGUGUGUGUACAGGAUGAACAGAGUCCAUGUGAGUGAACAUUCUCUCGUAUCACUUUGGAAUUGCUGGCUGAAAUGACUGAGAAAGAACCAAGACAAAGCUUUUGAGCACCUGCCUUGCAUCAGACUUGAGCAUCAGACUUGACUCUAGCCCUUCUCCAAGUUAACAGCUGGUUAGCUUCCUCAGCUGAGUCCUUCGUGAGGAAGCAGUGGUGAAAAAACGGAUACCUAGGCAAUUUUCAAGGACUAUUCUCAUACAUUUCUGGAAAUUUGAAUACACCCAUCUCAGCCAGCUGUUUAAGUUUUUGGAUCUGGAAUCAAGCAUAUUAUAACCCUUCGAUACUUCAGUGACCCAUGAGGACUAUCUAAUCUCCUACGUGAAUGGGAAUGACCUACCAAGGAAACAUCAGAAACUUUACUCAUUGGGUACAUAUAGGAGCUUAGUUUCUCCUCCUUAAACAUUUGCUUUUUCUAGUCUAUAUAUGGCUUAUGUAUGAUGGGUUAUAUUGAUUACUAUCCUUCCAUAUUGUAAUAUAUUUCUCCUGCCCUAUUCAUGUAUUUACACUCUGUGAUACUUUAUAAUCAUUUGUGACUUUGUGAAAUUGAUAUUAAUAUAUGGUUGUUCUAACUAACCUUAAUUAGGUGAUAUUGAUACAUUAAUAUAUGGAUUGAUUAUAUCUGUCUUUGAGUAUGUGCAUUAGUCUCUUCCACUGCAUUUGCUUAUUCCAUUAACACGGUUUUUCUCAGCAGGAGAGACAUACAUUAUUUUUUCUUGUAGAGUAGGCCUGGGUAAGACGUUAGGGUUACCAUUUAUGCCAGAAAAGUGCUUUAUUUUAUUAAUUUCUUAAUAAUUUCUGUGGGAUAAUUUAUGCAAAGAAGCAUUGUGUCCUAGAUUCUCAGUCUCCUCUGGUCACCAGCUGUCAACAGUACUAAAGAUGAACUUGAGGCAUGCCCCGCCCCCCCAUCUCAGCAUUUGAAGGCGCCAAAGCUGGAGUAAGCUGUGUAAAGGCAGUAUUACAAUCACUGCCACAUGGUGAAAUGCUUUUACAAUGUAAAAUGUGCAUUGUACAAUGUACAAAGCUUUUCCAGUCCUCAAAGCCAGAAAUGAGAGAGAUGCCAUUGGCCACAUGCUAGAAAACCCAUGAUAAAAACGACUACUAUACUGGUUUCAGCUCUCUGGUUGACUCAGUGGAGUUACUGCCUUCUUUUGUAAAUAAACUCUGAGAUAGCACAAGCAUGUGUCAGUCUUGGUGCCCCGCCCUGCCCUGAUGUCUUGUUUUGUUCUUUGUUGCAGAAACUCUUCUUUGACCAACUUGCAGUCUUUGUAUAGGAAACAGAUUGAUCAUUAAUACAAAGCAAGCAAAGUGGUCACCAGCCUGGGUUGUACUGUGGCUUAAUCAUACAGUGUCUGGACCUUCCACGAGUGCCAGAGCAGAGACUAUGAGGAGAAAUGGGUCUUUAAAAGUUCACUUCUAGGUAGCAGCAAAGCAGAGUUUGCUGAUAUGAUAUGGAUAUAGCAAGGCUUGGCUUUGAAUGUGAUGAGGUUGCUGUAUCAGUGAAUGGCAGCCUCAGGACUGACCACAUUAGUAUUUAGAAGGAAAGAUGUAUGAUGGGAGAAAAAGUAGGAAGGCCUUAAUGAAAUCUUUAAGACUCCCUGCCAAAUCAUGGCCUCACUGUAGCCUUCUAAAAAGGGGUCCAACACAACAGCCCAGACUCCCUGCCACCCUCUGAUCUGAUCACUACUAUUCUGCCCCAUGCCAUCCACACAGAGGCCAAGUGACCAUAUUAAUCAGGCUUUAAUUCCAAGUAUCUCCUUGUUCCCAGACUUGAAGUAUUCUUUUAAGCAAAUUAAAUGAAAGAUGCUGUAAUUGCUUGACAAUCAGAAACACAUCAGUACAGUCAAUUAUAAUGAAGGACAAAGCCAAUUUGGUAACAAAUUGUACAUAUUGUACAAAUCGUACACUGUUUGAAGGUGAAUGAUCUUAACACAGCGGUACAUAUCUUGGUAACCUCCAGGCUUGACUACUGUAAUGCACUCUGUGUGGGGCUGCCUUUGUACAUAGUCCAGAAACUACAAUUGGUACAGAAUGUGGCAGCCAGAUUGGUCUCUGGGACAACUCAAAAGAACACAUAACAGUUUAAGGGAUCUGCACUGGCUGCCGAUAUGUUUCUGGGUGAAAUCAAAGUCCAGGUUAUUUAAGAGAGCACCUCCUUUGUCAUGAGCCCUGCCACCUGUUGUGAUCUUCUGGAGAGGUCCAGUUAGUUGCCACCAGCUCAUUUGGUGGUGACCCAGGACCGAGCUUUCUCUGUGGCUGCCCCAGAGCUUUGGAAUAUGCUCCCUGCUGAAAUAAGAGCAUCUCCUUCUCUGUUUGAUUUCAGGAAACCCUCAAGGCUCACCUGUUCUCACAGGUUUUGAAUUUGAAUUAAUUUUAAUAAUUUGUUUUAAUAAUUGUUUUAUGCUACUGUUCUUAUUUCUGUUUUAUGCUACUGUUUUAAUUGUUUCAUGUAUCUUAAUCUGUGCUGAUUUUUAAAUGUUACAAAUUUUGUACACCGCCUAGAGAUGUAUAGAUCAGGUGGGAUAAAAAUAUGAUAGAUAAAUAAAUAAUAGGUAAACAAGC